ACGCUCGACACCUACGGGAAGCAGCAGUGGGGAAUAUUGCACAAUGGGGGAAACCCUGAUGCAGCGACGCCGCGUGAGUGAAGAAGUAAUUCGUCAUGUAAAGCUCUAUCAGCAGGGAAGAAAGUGACGGUACCUGAGUAAGAAGCCCCGGCUAACUACGUGCCAGCAGCCGCGGUAAUCUGAGCGGGCUGGCAAGGC
rnacentral:rRNA from 1 species